rnacentral:rRNA from 1 species
UACGGGGGGGGCAAGCGUUGUUCGGAAUUACUGGGCGUAAAGCGCGUGUAGGCGGGUCGGUGUGUCGGGUGUGAAAUCCCCAGGCUCAACCUGGGAACUGCAUUCGAAACUACCGGCCUAGAGUGGUGGAGAGGGAAGUGGAAUUCCUGGUGUAGAGGUGAAAUUCGUAGAUAUCAGGAGGAACACCAGUGGCGAAGGCGGCUUCCUGGACACCAACUGACGCUGAGACGGCGAAAA